UACGUAGGGUGCGAGCGUUGUCCGGAAUUACUGGGCGUAAAGAGCUCGUAGGUGGUUUGUCGCGUUGUUCGUGAAAACUCACAACUCAAUUGUGGGCGUGCGGGCGAUACGGGCAGACUGGAGUGCUGCAGGGGAGACUGGAAUUCCUGGUGUAGCGGUGGAAUGCGCAGAUAUCAGGAGGAACACCGGUGGCGAAGGCGGGUCUCUGGGCAGUAACUGACGCUGAGGAGCGAAAGCGUGGGGAGCGAACAGG
rnacentral:rRNA from 1 species